CUAGCAUUCUCUUCCCUUCCACAUUUUGGAGGCAACGCCCUGCAUCACGGUCCUCAAAUACACCCUCACCUUCUAUCCUCACAUGGAAAAGUCUGUCUGCAGGUAUCUCUACUGCUUCCUCCCUCUUUUCCUUUAGAUCUCUGCUUAAAUGUCACCUCAACAGACAGGUCUCUACUGAGACCCACUACCAUUCACAUCUCAUUGUUAUGUCUGAUAGUAUAUUAUGUAUUUGUCUUACAUAUUAUAUAAUAUUUAUUUAUAUACAUUUGUUGUUACUCUCAUUAUUUCUCAUCACAAGAUGAAAUAUGGGUUUUAACUGUUUUCAAUAUCAGACACAUAGUUGGUACCCAAUAAAUAUUUGUUGAAUAAAUUAAUGAAAAUUUGAUGAAAUAACUCAAUGUCAUUUUAUUUUCCCAGAAUAUAUGACCUUAACACAUGUAACAUUCUCUACAAGCUAUGAAUGUAAUAUAACCAAUCUAUUCUUUUUUCUUUUCUAUAAUCUUAAACUAUGAAGCUCAGUAAAAGCCAUUUGAAGGUUUUGAGUAUUAUUAUAUGUAAGUUUAGUACUAUUUUGAGUAUAAAACCUAGAUUGAUUUUUCUUUCAGAAUUUUACAGGUAAUAGUCUAUGUUCGUUUAUAUUAAUAAGUCAGGAAUCAGCCUAAUUUUUUCUUUAUUUUAGUGUAAUCUCUCUAGUCUAUCACUGAACUUAUAUUUUAUCUUUAAUUUUCUACAGUUUAACUCUGAAAGUCUCAAAAGUAGGUCAACUUAUUCCUUUUAUUUUAUUUGGGUUUGAAAGUCUUCUUGAAUCUCUAGUUUGAUGUAUUUUACCAUUUUGAAAAAGAUAGCCAUCAUCUAUGUAAAUAUCUCCUCUGUUUCAUUCCCUCAUUUAUUUCCUUCUAGAAACUUAAUUACACUAAAUUAAAAUGUUACUCUAUCCCUUUUUUCUCCAACCUUUUCUUCUGUAUUUUUCAUUUUUUUAUCUGUUUUUCAUCCUGAAGGUGUUCUUCCUACCUAUAUUUCACUAAUUAUAUCUUCACUUGUCCUUAAUCUACUUUUGAAUAUACUCAAUUAAGAUCUUAAUUUUUAAUAUGAUUUUAGCUCCCAAAUAUUUUGGUUUUCUCUUUCAGUUCUGCUAACUUUUUGGUUUUGUUUUGUUUUGUUUUGUUUCUUUUUAGGGCCAUACCCACGGCUUAUGGAGGUUUGCAGGCUACAGGUUGAAUUGGAGCUGCAGCUGCAGGCCUACACCACAGCCACAGCAACAGAGGAUCUGGGCCACAUUUGUGACCUAUACCACAGUUCACAGCAAUGCUGGAUCCUUAACCCACUGAGUGAGGCCAGAGAUUGAACCCGCAUCCUCAUGGAUACUAGAUGGAUUCAUUAAUCACUGAGCCAUGACAGGAACUCCUGCUCUGCUAACUUUAAAAAACAGUUUCCAGCUAACUACUGAAAUUCCCUAUAUCUUGUUCUUUCUCUCCUUGAAUAGAAAAGCAUAAUUAUUUUAAACUAUCUCAGAACUGCAAUUAUAAUAGCUCAACCCCCUAAAAGUCUGUUUCUAUUUUCUCUUGUUAUGUCUAGUUUUCAUUCAUGAUAUCUCAUAGCAUUAUGUGUAUAGUUAUGUUUUAUUGCAUGCUAAACACUGGAUAUGAAAAAUUGCUUUUAGAAAUAAUCUGAGGCCUAGAAUGAGGUUAUAUCUCUCCAUAGAGAAUAUUUAUUUGUUUUGCCAGGUUCUUGGGAACACUAGCAAUCUGGAAUAACCAUAAUUUAACUUCUGGUGUUAGAUGAUUUGGUUUUACGUUUCAGUUCCUAUGAGGGCAAUACUAUUUAUAAUAUACCCUUAUUUCUAGGAAUCAGAACUUGGGUAGCCAACAUGAAAUAGCAUAAAGUUUAUUAUACCUUUUUCUACAUUUGAGAGGUUCAAGACUUUAACUUAGUUUACCCCGAAUCUCACAAAAAUAUCAUUGAUUAGCUUUUUUAUCAUUUAUAUUUGGAUUGGAAAAUGGCCCUGGGGGAAGGGGUUCCUAGAGUCCAGGCUCAAAUAACUUGAGAUUUGCAUGUUCUCUCUGACUUUGGUCCAGGGCUUUUGUAUCAGCUUUUUCAAUUCUUCAAGCUAAAGGUUUUUUUGUUAACAUAUACUUACCUAUUUACCCAGUCUUUACUGAAAAUAAAAUAUGCUGAUUUGAAAUAAGUAAAAGUAGAUAUCAGAGCUCCAGAAUAGUGGGAUAUGGUGACACCAAGGAUCCAAGGUAGUGUACAUAUCAGUUCAUAGGAGUUUAACCUGAUGAUUAGUAAAGACCAGUCCCUCAAUGUUCCUCAGACAACACCCUGACACUCUGUAAAUCCUCAGGGAAAAAGUUAGAGAAUAAUAUAAAAUUACCUGAGAAAAAUCCACUGUAGAAAUUAAACAUAUAUAAAGAAAAAAUAAAAUUAGUCCUCUAGGGAACCAUGAAACAUAUCUGGGCCCUAAUCUAUGCCUUGUGCCUCAGCAGAAGCAAAUCUGACUAGUAUCCAUGAAGAUGCAGGUUUGAUCCCUGGCCUUGCUCAGUGGGUUAAGGAUCAGGUAUUGCCAUGAGCUGUUGUGUAGGUCACAGACACUGCUCAGAUCUGGCAUUGCUGUGACUGUGGUAUAGGCUGGCAGCUACAGCUCCAAUUCAACCCCUAGUCUGGGAAGGGAACUUCAAUAUGUCACAGGUGUGGCCCUAGAAAGAAAGAAAGAUGUUUUAUGAAUCUGUAAUUUAAUAAAGUUAGCAUUAGUUACAAGUCCUAGUUAUUUAAUCCUCUGUAUUUCAAGAAUUGUGGGAGUUCCCAUGGUGGUGCAGUGGUUAACAAAUCCGACUAGGAACCAUGAAGUUGUGGGUUCGAUCCCUGCCCUUGCUCAGUGGGCUGAGGAUCCGACGUUACCGUGAGCUGUGGUGUGGGUUGCAGACAUGGCUCGGAUGCCGUGUUGCUGUGGCUCUGGUGUAGGCCGGUGGCUACAGCUCUGAUUGGACCCCUGGCCUGGGAACCUCCAUAUGCUGCAGGAGCAGCUCAAGAAA
rnacentral:lncRNA from 1 species